rnacentral:rRNA from 1 species
UGCGCGUCCUAUGCAUGCAAGUUCGUACGCACGCGCCUUCGGCGCGUUGAGUGGCGCACGGCUGAGUAACACGAUGGGAACCCGCCCUCCGGUGGGGGAUAACGCGACGAAAGUCGCGCUAAUCCCGCAUACGUCCGCAAGGGGAAAGCGCUUCGGCGCGCCGGAGGAGGGGCCUGCGGCCCAUCAGGUGGUUGGUGGGGUAACGGCCUACCAAGCCKAUGACGGGUAGCUGGUCUGGGAGGAUGACCAGCCAKACUGGGACUGAGACACGGCCCAGACUCCUACGGGAGGCAGCAGUCAAGGAAUUUUCGGCAAUGGGCGCAAGCCUGACCGAGCAACGCCGCGUGCGGGAUGACGGCCUUCRGGUUGUAAACCGCUUUUCGGGGGGACGACUACGACGGUACCCCCGGAAGAAGCCCCGGCUAACUCUGUGCCAGCAGCCGCGGUAAGACAGAGGGGGCGAGCGUUGUCCGGAGUUACUGGGCGUAAAGCGCGCGCAGGCGGUGGUCUCAKUGUCGUGUGAAAGCCCCCGGCUCAACCGGGGGAGGUCAUGGCAAACUAGACGACUGGAGCGGCGGAGAGGCCCCUCGAAUUGCCGGUGUA